AUAAUUCUUGGCCAUAUUUUCUAUAUAGGCUCGGGAUUGCCCCUCUAUGGUUUCCCUUGAGUUUGAAGAACAUUCCUUUGGCCAAUUAGAAGAUAUACAAAUUCCUCGUUUAUUCCGCCCCCUUAUGGCGAAAAUUUCCGAAUUUUUUAUCGAACGCCAUUAAGUGGAGCAUCGACAUGUCUGUACAAUUUGGACUCGAUCCGAUGUCUAAUUCUGGAUUUCUUUGGAUUUUUGAUUUUCCACGUCUAAUUUAGCUCAUAAACCAAUAUUCAAAACGCUACCGUUUCGUCGUCGAAGGUCCGAUCAAAAAAGUGUCUAUCAAUUAUAUGCGUGUGCGUCUGAAGAUGCCGUGUGCAAAGUUUGGUGUCGAUUGGUCAAGAAAUGUGGGAGGAGUAGCGAAAAAACAGUUUUGCGGUUUUCGCGAUUUUGCGAAAAAAAAUUAUGGACGCAAAUGGGCGUGGCCUAUGCCAAAAGAUGCAGCAGACUCCAGUGAAUAUGUGCGUACAAGUUUUUGAAUGUGGGAGAUUCGGUGUGGGAGUUAAAGCCCCAAACGCGUAUUCAUUGGAAUAGCGCCACCUAGUGGCCGGCAUGUCUGGGUUUUGUCGUCUGCGUAGUGUUCACGCAGUGGCGGAUCUUCCAUUAGGCAAACCUAGGCAAGUGCCUAGGGCCCCAACCAAAUCUGUCUUUAUUAGGGGCCCCCAAAUCUGACCCCCCCAGCCAUUACUUAUGUAAAGUAAAAAAGAAAAACACAUUUCUAGUAGAAAAAAAUAACAAAAAUAUCAACAUAAUGCCGAACUAAGGCCUAAAUAAUAAUUUUCCAGCACACAUGCCCCCCUCCAUUGUGCAUUGGACUAGUCCAGAAUAUGAUUACGUAGUAACGCGCGCAGCGCGAAAUAACUUACUUCAAACCAAAGCAGAGGGAUGCAACUCGGUGAAAAUGAAGCGGCGGAAUUAUGAUAGUUGUUGUGCUAAACGAAAACAAAUUUUCACCGAGUUGCAUCCCUCUGCUUUGGUUUGAAGUAAGUUAUUUCGCGCUGCGCGCGUUACUACGUAAUCAUAUUCUGGACUAGUCCAAUGCACAAUGGAGGGGGGCAUGUGUGCUGGAAAAUUAUUAUUUAGGCCUUAGUUCGGCAUUAUGUUGAUAUUUUUGUUAUUUUUUUCUACUAGAAAUGUGUUUUUCUUUUUUACUUUACAUAAGUAAUGGCUGGGGGGGUCAGAUUUGGGGGCCCCUAAUAAAGACAGCCACUGCGUGAACACUAC
rnacentral:lncRNA from 1 species